GGAGCCAGGAUGUGGAGUUGGCGGCGAGACGUGGAGGCUGGGCUCAGGGCCUAGCGUGGGCGUGAAGAUAGAAGAGGAGCCGGAACGUGCAAGGGAGGGCUGGCAGCCCGAGCGCGGAGGCGGGGCCGGUUUGUCUCUUCCAGAAUCGAAGCUGUAAAACUACAAAUCGUUCUUCAAAUGGAGCCCCAGGUGCAGUCGAGGACUAAGAUCUACCGCAGCCCCCUGGACCAGCCUGCUAGCCCAUGCUUCGAUGUUGAUGACAUCAAAGGCACCCCUCCCGAGGAAAUCUCAACUGCAUGACCCCUACUGCGCCCUAGUUCAGAAGGAAGCAGUUAGAGCAGUCGCUGGCCCGCCUCCCCAACAGCACUUGGGUUUUCCUGUUGAGAGGAGGGACUGAGAGACAGGACUAGCUGCGUUUCCUAGGCCGGCUAAGAAUCCCUAAGCCUAGCUGGGAAGGUGACUGUAUCCACCUUUAAACACAGGGCUUGCAACUUAGCUCACACCCGACCAAUCAGGUAGUAAAGAGAGCUCACUAAAAUGCUAAUUAGGCAAAAACAGGAGGUAAAGAAAUAGCUAAUAUCUAUCACCUGAGAGUACAGGGGGAGGGACAAUGAUUGGGAUAGAAACCCAGGCAUUCGAGCCGGCAACGGCAACCCCCUUUGGGUCUCCUUCCAUUUUAUGGGAGCU
ensembl:lncRNA novel transcript, antisense to TMEM87B